AUGGAGGACACUCAGAAUGACACAACUCCCAUUCCUCCUGCCACAGGAAGAACCUGCCACAUCUCAAUGGCACAAGGCAUCAUGAUUCCCAAAGCCUAUGAACCUCGCAGAGGAAUAAAAUGUGUCGGUGGCAGAAAUGGAUCUACCCAGCGGCACAAGACAGGGCCCAACCAGCAGCUGCGUGUGAGCCAGCGGGAGAUGUUCAAGGCUUGUUAUUACAGAACUUCAAUUGUCCCCUCUCUCCCUGACCACAAACUGCAUCCCGUAGUCAAGAGCUCUCAACUUUCCUAGACAAUUGGACCUCUGUGAACAUUUCCCAGAAUCAGUGAGCAUGCCAUCAAAUAGAACAUCUGACAGUGGCAGUUGGAGAAAUUCCCCAUCAGCCCCCAGGAAGUAUUUUGGCACCUGUACCUGAAUUCCCAUCAAAUACCUGAAUAACCUCUUUGGUUGUAACUGGUAUACACUGACAACGGAAGGGGAGAAAAGGCAAGACUAAAACAAAAAACAAUGACUUAUUCUUUAACUUUACAGGUGAAAGGUAUCUUCUGGAAAUUCCUAAUGCCUUUGCUGACAGCAUUUUGUCAUGCAGCAUGCUUACUAUUUAGACGAUACUGCAAGAACAACUGGAAAUAAUUGGAACAAUUUUUUUCUUGCUACACUGUUACCACUUUCAAUACCAAAGAUAUGUGAGGCUAUCAGUAGCAAAAUACCUUUGUUCAUACCAUAAAACAGAGUGUAGAGUCCUACUUGGUGUUUUGGAUUAGGAUCAUUGGAGUAAUGACUCUAGAACAAUUAACCAGAGUAAGUAACUGGAACAGAUGUCUUUUAGGCUCUCUAAUUUGUACGUUCUUAACUUUUGCCUAUUAGCAACUCUUAUUUUGGGAAAGAACUCCUAUCCUAAGCACAAAAAGGAGUCUCACUAUGUGUUGAAUGAAAGUUAGAUGCCUUUCUUUGUAAAUGUCUCUGCUGACUUACAAUCAUUGGUAGCCUAAGUGUUUGGUAACAUGUGUGCUUCUUCUGUUAUACAGGCCUCUCCCUAGGCCCUACCCCUAAAGCCCACCUCCAGUAGAAUCCCCCUCAAACACUUCUACACCUUCUGUUUAAAGUGAUCCAACCAUGUAGCAAAUUUAAGACCCUGGAUCACAGUUAAGGGUCUUGAUCUUAACUUGGAGGUAGCAUAAAGAACUGGCUUGGAGACCAUUUUACACUGACUAGAUUCCCACCCAAAUGAUUCCAGGGGCCAACUUGAUCCCAUGCAGGCUUAGGUCUGUUUCUAGAGCAUAGGUUCUGUUUGUAAGGUUCUGCUCUGCUGCUGUGUACCCUCGGGGCCGCAUGAAAGGGACCCCUGGCCUUCGCAUUCAUACCUGGAAAAGGCAGCACUCCUUCCUCUUCCCUUCCCAAGUGAAGAACUUUUAGAUUCAGCCUCUCCAGCUCUCUCCCUCCUUCUCCCACCCUCUUAAAACAAAAAACACCCAAAUCAAAAUAUGCUACUCACUUUUUUUUUUUUUUGAGACAGAGCCUUGCUACAUAGUUCAGGGUGGCCUUGAACUCACAGCAAUCCUCCUACCUCAGUCUCCAGAGUGCUGCAGUUACAGUUGUGAACCACCAUGCCCGGUCCCACUCACCUUUUUAUUGGUAUUGUGUUAAUUUUAUAAACUAACUUGGGCAAAACUGAUGGCUUUUUUUUAGAGUCUUCCAAUCUCAGCACAUAAUGCACUUUUUCAUUUACUCAACUCUUGUGUUCUUCUACAGCAUUUUAAAGUUUGUUUUCGUGUGGAUCUCAUGUUUCCCUUAUUAAGUUAAUCCCUAUUUUGGCUGCUAUAGCAAUUUCAAAUAAGUCAUAUCUUCUACUUUGACUUUGUAGAUAUGAAAGUUAUGCUUUCCUGUGUGUUAAUUCUUAUGCUUUACUACAGUGUUGUAUUUUAUUAUUUAUAAUUGUUUUAAAUUUUUAUGUUCCUGAAUUUGCCAUGUAUACAAACUUACAGUGUACAACAGGUGGUGAUCUAACCCCAAUCUUUCCUAUUUUUACACUCGUGAGUCCACAGUUUCCUUAACCGUGCUGGCUAGUUCUUCCCACACAAUUUUAGGUAGAAAUGAAACUGUCUUCUCUUGUCUUUCAUCCUAAGGAAAGCACAGGCCAUUGAAAAUUAGGUUGCAUCUGGGGACCAGGCAGACCAACUUUAAAUUAUAGGAGUACCCACAUGUUCUUCCACUCCUUUUUCUCUUUCAAAAUCAAGACUGGCUAUUAAAUUGCACCAACUAUCUUGUCAGUAUCUGUGGCUUUAAUUACCAGGUUUUUCUCCGCAGGUCUAUUACUAUGAUUAAUACAUGACUAUAUUACAUAUUGAACAUUCUUGCAUUCCAUGAAAAUAAACCCAAGUUGAUUUGUGAAUAUUUGUCUUUUAAUAAGCUGCUGGACUAUUUCUUAAUGUUUGCUUAUGAUUUAUAAAGCCACUAUUCACGAAUGAAACUGGUCAGGUAAUUUUCUGCUUUGUGCAGUCUUU
rnacentral:lncRNA from 1 species